AAUCAGAAAGGUUAAAACUCAUUCCUCUACCCUCUUUUCCCAUUUGUUGAGGGCAAAGACAAGCAGAAGACUGAACCUUCAGGACCUGCCUACCCACCUGAGUGAAGCUGGGGAGGGAAUGGGAGUGAGGAGGAUUCAGCUAUAGCACAAGCCCUGCUUGGAUUCUCAGACCCCUGUGUCAAGCCAUGUCCAGCCAGGAGCACUCAGUGGCUUUCCUCUCUGGAGAUCUACCAUCUCUUCUAAUAGGUGUCAUGAAUGCGUUAAUUCCCCGGGAAGGGAGGAAGGAUUGCUGGGCUGAAGGCAUGGCCAAGGCAGGAGUGUAGGGUGGAGGCGAGCUUCCCCAGAGCCUGAGUGAUGCCCAAGGGACACUUGCAGCAGCCCUGGAUGGAAGGAGUUAUCUCCCUGUUUUGCAAAGUCAGCUCAGAGAAAGGAAAUGACUUGUCCCAGGUCAUGCAACUAGAACACGACAGAGUUGACCCACUUGCCUCCAGAGUCCUUGUUCUUAACUGUUACAUCGCAUCUCCUCUCUUCAAUAAGAUGAAUUCACGUGGUAUUUAUAAACAUGGAAGAAAUAUAAAAUUUGGA